rnacentral:rRNA from 1 species
ACGAACGCUGGCGGCGUGCUUAACACAUGCAAGUCGCACGGAAAGGCCCUGCUUUUGUGGGGUGCUCGAGUGGCGAACGGGUGAGUAACACGUGAGUAACCUGCCCUUGACUUUGGGAUAACUUCAGGAAACUGGGGCUAAUACCGGAUAGGAGCUCCUGCCGCAUGGUGGGGGUUGGAAAGUUUCGGCGGUUGGGGAUGGACUCGCGGCUUAUCAGCUUGUUGGUGGGGUAGUGGCUUACCAAGGCUUUGACGGGUAGCCGGCCUGAGAGGGUGACCGGCCACAUUGGGACUGAGAUACGGCCCAGACUCCUACGGGAGGCAGCAGUGGGGAAUAUUGCACAAUGGGCGGAAGCCUGAUGCAGCAACGCCGCGUGCGGGAUGACGGCCUUCGGGUUGUAAACCGCUUUCGCCUGUGACGAAGCGUGAGUGACGGUAAUGGGUAAAGAAGCACCGGCUAACUACGUG